ACGAUAAAGGCAAGGAAAACAUAAACAACACAAAACAAUUAAAGCUAAAAUUGGAUACAGAACUAUAAAUGCUGUGCUUGUACUAUUUCUUCGAAACCAUGCAUUCACAGUAUUUUUUUUUUUUGAUGUUGAAGUACCUCUCGUCAAAUUUACCGCAAUC
rnacentral:ribozyme from 14 species